rnacentral:rRNA from 1 species
AUGAACGCUAGCGACAGGCUUAACACAUGCAAGUCGAGGGGCAGCACAGGUAGCAAUACCGGGUGGCGACCGGCGCACGGGUGAGUAACGCGUAUGCAACUUGCCUAUCAGAGGGGGAUAACCCGGCGAAAGUCGGACUAAUACCGCAUGAAGCAGGGGCCCCGCAUGGGGAUAUUUGCUAAAGAUUCAUCGCUGAUAGAUAGGCAUGCGUUCCAUUAGGCAGUUGGCGGGGUAACGGCCCACCAAACCGACGAUGGAUAGGGGUUCUGAGAGGAAGGUCCCCCACAUUGGUACUGAGACACGGACCAAACUCCUACGGGAGGCAGCAGUGAGGAAUAUUGGUCAAUGGGCGUAAGCCUGAACCAGCCAAGUCGCGUGAGGGAUGAAGGUUCUAUGGAUCGUAAUCCUCUUUUAUAAGGGAAUAAAGUGCGGGACGUGUCCCGUUUUGUAUGUACCUUAUGAAUAAGGAUCGGCUAACUCCGUGCCAGCAGCCGCGGUAAUACGGAGGAUCCGAGCGUUAUCCGGAUUUAUUGGGUUUAAAGGGUGCGUAGGCGGCCUUUUAAGUCAGCGGUGAAAGUCUGUGGCUCAACCAUAGAAUUGCCGUUGAAACUGGGGGGCUUGAGUAUGUUUGAGGCAGGCGGAAUGCGUGGUGUAGCGGUGAAAUGCAUAGAUAUCACGCAGAACCCCGAUUGCGAAGGCAGCCUGCCAAGCCAUUACUGACGCUGAUGCACGAAAGCGUGGGGAUCAAACAGGAUUAGAUACCCUGGUAGUCCACGCAGUAAACGAUGAUCACUAGCUGUUUGCGAUACACUGUAAGCGGCACAGCGAAAGCGUUAAGUGAUCCACCUGGGGAGUACGCCGGCAACGGUGAAACUCAAAGGAAUUGACGGGGGCCCGCACAAGCGGAGGAACAUGUGGUUUAAUUCGAUGAUACGCGAGGAACCUUACCCGGGUUUGAACGCAUUCGGACCGAGGUGGAAACACCUUUUCUAGCAAUAGCCGUUUGCGAGGUGCUGCAUGGUUGUCGUCAGCUCGUGCCGUGAGGUGUCGGCUUAAGUGCCAUAACGAGCGCAACCCUUGCCACUAGUUACUAACAGGUGAUGCUGAGGACUCUGGUGGGACUGCCAGCGUAAGCUGCGAGGAAGGCGGGGAUGACGUCAAAUCAGCACGGCCCUUACAUCCGGGGCGACACACGUGUUACAAUGGCGUGGACAAAGGGAGGCCACCUGGCGACAGGGAGCGAAUCCCCAAACCACGUCUCAGUUCGGAUCGGAGUCUGCAACCCGACUCCGUGAAGCUGGAUUCGCUAGUAAUCGCGCAUCAGCCAUGGCGCGGUGAAUACGUUCCCGGGCCUUGUACACACCGCCCGUCAAGCCAUGGGAGCCGGGGGUACCUGAAGUCCGUAACCGAAAGGAUCGGCCUAGGGUAAAACUGGUGACUGGGGCU